rnacentral:rRNA from 1 species
UUGGAGGGCAAGUCUGGUGCCAGCAGCCGCGGUAAUUCCAGCUCCAAUAGCGUAUAUUAAAGUUGUUGCAGUUAAAAAGCUCGUAGUUGAAUUUCGGGGUUCUACCGUUGGUCGGGCUUUGUCUGUACUGGUGUGUAGAAUUUCUACCUUCUGGGGAACCAUCAUGCUAUUAAUUUAGCGUGGUGGGAAACCAGGACCUUUACCUUGAAAAAAUUAGUGUGUUCAAAGCAGGCUUAUGUCUGAAUACAUUAGCGUGGAAUAAUAGAAUAGGACGGUGGUCCUGUUUUGUUGGUUUCUGAAUCACCGUAAUGAUUAAUAGGGAUAGUUGGGGGCAUUAGUAUUCAAUUGUCAGAGGUGAAAUUCUUGGAUUUAUUGAAGACUAACUUCUGCGAAAGCAUUUGCCAAGGAUGUUUUCAUUAAUCAAGAACGAAAGUUAGGGGAUCGAAGACGAUCAGAUACCGUCGUAGUCUUAACCAUAAACUAUGCCGACUAGGGAUCGGACGAUGUUAAUUUUUCUUGACUCGUUCGGCGCCUUACGG